GUAGGUGGCAAGCGUUGUCCGGAAUUAUUGGGCGUAAAGCGCGCGCAGGCGGUUCUUUAAGUCUGAUGUGAAAGCCCACGGCUCAACCGUGGAGGGUCAUUGGAAACUGGAGAACUUGAGUACAGAAGAGGAAAGCGGAAUUCCACGUGUAGCGGUGAAAUGCGUAGAGAUGUGGAGGAACACCAGUGGCGAAGGCGGCUUUCUGGUCUGUAACUGACGCUGAGGCGCGAAAGCGUGGGGAGCAAACAGGAUUAGAUACCCUGGUAGUCCACGCCGUAAACGAUGAGUGCUAAGGUGUUAGGGGGGUUUUCCGCCCCCCUUAGUGCUGCAGCUAACGCAUUAAGCACUCCGCCUGGGGAUACGGCCGCAAGGCUG
rnacentral:rRNA from 1 species